AAGGGGGUGAAGGGUGUCCCCCUGAACCUGCAGAUUGACACCUAUGACUGUGGCUUGGGCACUGAGCGCCUGGUACACCGUGCUGUCUGCCAGAUCAAGAUCUUCUGUGACAAGGGAGCUGAGAGGAAGAUGCGCGAUGACGAGCGGAAGCAGUUCCGGAGGAAGGUCAAGUGCCCUGACUCCAGCAACAGUGGCGUCAAGGGCUGCCUGCUGUCGGGCUUCAGGGGCAAUGAGACGACCUACCUUCGGCCAGAGACUGACCUGGAGACGCCACCCGUGCUGUUCAUCCCCAAUGUGCACUUCUCCAGCCUGCAGCGCUCUGGAGGGGUGAGGCCAGGGCUGGGGUCUCGGGAAGGAGCCGAGAGAGGGUCCUGGCUCCUAGGUGGGGCCUGCCUUAGCACAGACCAGUGGGGAGCAGCCUGCCCCUCAGCCAGUUUCAAGACCUUUAUUGAAUCAUAGGGGUUUAAACAUGUAUAUAUGGUCCUAUAGCUUCAGUGACCUAUUGUACUGAAGAGAAGAAUGUUAUGAAGAAACAGAUUUCGUAACCAUUAAAACGUUCAUGCUUAGGGCACACAAA
rnacentral:sRNA from 1 species